rnacentral:rRNA from 1 species
AUUGAACGCUGGCGGCAUGCCUUACACAUGCAAGUCGAACGGUAACAGGUCUUCGGAUGCUGACGAGUGGCGGACGGGUGAGUAAUACAUCGGAACGUGCCCAGACGUGGGGGAUAACGAGGCGAAAGCUUUGCUAAUACCGCAUACGAUCUAAGGAUGAAAGCAGGGGACCGCAAGGCCUUGCGCGUUUGGAGCGGCCGAUGGCAGCUUAGGUAGUUGGUGGGAUAAAAGCUUACCAAGCCGACGAUCUGUAGCUGGUCUGAGAGGACGACCAGCCACACUGGGACUGAGACACGGCCCAGACUCCUACGGGAGGCAGCAGUGGGGAAUGUGGGACAAUGGGCGAAAGCCUGAUCCAGCAAUGCCGCGUGCAGGAUGAAGGCCUUCGGGUUGUAAACUGCGUUUGUACGGAACGAAAAGGCUCUGGCUAAUACCUGGGGCACAUGACGGUACCGGAAGAAUAAGCACCGGCUAACUACGUG